CCUGAUGACCAUAGCAAGUCGGUCCCACCCCUUCCCAUCCCGAACAGGACCGUGAAACGACUUUGCGCCGAUGAUAGUGCUGCAACCAGUGUGNGAGACCAGGACGUUGAUAGGU
rnacentral:rRNA from 1 species